GCCUCCAUCGUCUAGGGGUUUAGGACACCGCCCUUUCACGGCGGCGACAGGGGUUCAAAUCCCCUUGGAGGCA
rfam:Parcubacteria bacterium 33_209 MPI_scaffold_319, whole genome shotgun sequence.